UGAUCAAUGUACUCUUGCUGAUACAUGACC
rnacentral:piRNA from 1 species